UCCCCUUUCCCUUGCUAAUCAAAGCUAUCCCUUAGCCAGGCACACACCUGUAUUCCCAGCCCCUGGGGAGGCUGAGGCAGGAGGAU
rnacentral:miRNA from 1 species